CUAGCGAUGUAUUUUUAACUUAACUUUUAGGAGUUAUCAAAUGUCUCUAAGUACAGAAAAAAAGCAGCAAUCGUUGCUGAAUUUGGUCGUGAUGCA
rfam:Pasteurella multocida subsp. multocida str. Anand1_buffalo contig313, whole genome shotgun sequence.